rnacentral:rRNA from 1 species
GAUGAACGCUGGCGGCGUGCCUAAUACAUGCAAGUCGAGCGAACAGACGAGGAGCUUGCUCCUCUAACGUUAGCGGCGGACGGGUGAGUAACACGUGGAUAACCUACCUAUAAGACUGGGAUAACUUCGGGAAACCGGAGCUAAUACCGGAUAAUAUAUUGAACCGCAUGGUUCAAUAGUGAAAGACGGUUUUGCUGUCACUUAUAGAUGGAUCCGCGCCGCAUUAGCUAGUUGGUAAGGUAACGGCUUACCAAGGCAACGAUGCGUAGCCGACCUGAGAGGGGGAUCGGCCACACUGGAACGGAGACACGGUCCAGACUCCUACGGGAGGCAGCAGUAGGGAAUCUUCCGCAAUGGGCGAAAGCCUGACGGAGCAACGCCGCGUGAGUGAUGAAGGUCUUCGGAUCGUAAAACUCUGUUAUUAGGGAAGAACAAAUGUGUAAGUAACUAUGCACGUCUUGACGGUACCUAAUCAGAAAGCCACGGCUAACUACGUG